AGGGCACCACCAGGAGUGGAGCCUGCGGCUUAAUUUGACUCAACACGGGAAAACUCACCUGGCCCGGACACCGUGAGGAUUGACAGAUUGAGAGCUCUUUCUUGAUUCGGUGGUUGGUGGUGCAUGGCCGUUCUUAGUUGGUGGAGUGAUUUGUCUGGUUUAUUCCGAUAACGAGCGAGACUCUAGCCUACUAAAUAGUUACUGGAUAAUUGCGUCCAGAAGACUUCUUAGAGGGACAAGCGGUGUUCAGCCGCACGAAGCUGAGCAAUAACAGGUCUGUGAUGCCCUUAGAUGUCCAGGGCUGCACGCGCGCUACACUGGAGGAAUCAGCGUGCUGUAACCAUUGCCGAAAGGCAUUGGUAACCCCUUGAAAAUCCUCCGUGAUCGGGAUCGGGAAUUGCAAUUAUUUCCCUUGAACGAGGAAUUCCUAGUAAGUGUGAGUCAUCGGCUCACGUUGAUUACGUCCCUGCCCUUUGUACACACCGCCCGUCGCUGCCCGGGACUGAGCCGUUUCGAGAA
rnacentral:rRNA from 1 species